rnacentral:lncRNA from 1 species
AAGAAGAGAAAGGUCAGCAGAAAUGACGGGAGGAGGAAGAGGAAAACUGGAAGGAGUGAAAAAAAAAGGAGAGAAGAAACGUGGUAUGUGGAAUGGGCAAAGACAGGCAGUAAUAGCAGUUAAUAGCAGUUACUAACUGCACACCAGUGGUUUUUUGGGUUUUGUUUUGUUUUUUUUUUCACUUAGGAACUAAGCGAGACAGCUGAAAAAAUGACUCACAAGAUGCAAGUGAUGCAACAGUUCUCACAACAGCACAAAUUCACCCGUCUUUCAUCUGCAGGACUGUGGAUGUCCCAGCUGCCAUGCAGCCAUCAGUCAGCAGAACAAGGAGUGUGCAGCUGCUCCAUCUCCAGUGCUCGAGCUGUGACAACCCACACAUGUCAUUUAUGCAAGCGAUAUUCCUGUGUCUGUAGGUCCCCAUAAAGGAGGACCAGGUGUGACAUGUGCCCAAGGGACCCUUCGCAGAGGAGAGCACAGGCCUGCUGCUGUAAGAAACACGACCACUGAGUGAGGGUUUCAUUGGCACUCUGCUUGCCUGACGUUCUGGCAGCGUGGAAGGAGAUCUCCACGUCAGCAACUUCA